rnacentral:rRNA from 1 species
UACGUAGGAUGCGAGCGUUGUCCGGAUUUAUUGGGUUUAAAGGGUGCGUAGGCGGACUGUCAAGUCAGCGGUAAAAUUGAGAGGCUCAACCUCUUCCCGCCGUUGAAACUGGUGGUCUUGAGUGGAUGAGAAGUACGCGGAAUGCGUGGUGUAGCGGUGAAAUGCAUAGAUAUCACGCAGAACUCCGAUUGCGAAGGCAGCGUACCGGCAUCCAACUGACGCUGAGGCACGAAGGCGUGGGGAUCAAACAGG